rnacentral:rRNA from 1 species
GUAGGUGGCAAGCGUUGUCCGGAAUUAUUGGGCGUAAAGCGCGCGCAGGCGGUUCUUUAAGUCUGAUGUGAAAGCCCACGGGCUCAACCGUGGAGGGUCAUUGGAAACUGGAGAACUUGAGUACAGAAGAGGAAAGCGGAAUUCCACGUGUAGCGGUGAAAUGCGUAGAGAUGUGGAGGAACACCCGUGGCGAAGGCGGCUUUCUGGUCUGUAACUGACGCUGAGGCGCGAAAGCGUGGGGAGCAAACAGGAUUAGAUACCCUGGUAGUCCACGCCGUAAACGAUGAGUGCUAAGUGUUAGGGGGUUUCCGCCCCUUAGUGCUGCAGCUAACGCAUUAAGCACUCCGCCUGGGGAGUACGGCCGCAAAGGCUG